GUUGUUUAGGAGAGAUUUUCUUAAGUAUAUUUUACCUUUAGCCAAAGAAAAAGUAUAGUCAUCAAAGUAAUUUUUCUACUUGCACAGUAAAUAUAAACUUGGCAUAUGUGCUAUACAGUAGAUUUGCUUGCUGUGAGACCAUCUGAUUUAUUUGGGUUGAAGUCAGACAGACAGCCUUUCGGCAUAGGACAUGGGUUGGUACACAACAAACCUAUUGAAGAGACAGAAGUCACGACUGUAGGCAACGUGAUUACAUGGACUCCCUCACUGAAGGACAGACCUUGGCUGGAAGGAAAAAAAGUUCAGAAAAGUAGCCUGACUGCAAGUAAAUCUGACACAAGAAAACAACACUGAUUCAUAAAUCUGGAACCAACAAAAGUUUUGUAAUAAAGGGGGCAAACAGCCUUAUUUCUGCAGAAGAGCCACAUUUUCAGUGUACUUGCUUCAGACAUUAUUAAACAAACCCACAUAAAGAAGUAUUACAGUGCUAUGAUCAAAACUACAAGUCAUAAAAGUUUGAAAAUCAAAUGUUUUCAUAUAUUGAAGGUUUUUUACCUUCAAUAAAGCCCCAGGAGAUGAGAAUGAUAGUUUCUUUUUUAGAAUCUUUAUGUAUCUGAACCAUAUUACAUUAGCUUUAUGCAUCUGAACCUUUAUUUAGCCACCAACCUGUUCCCUCUGAGUAUCAUCAAGUAUAACUUGCAGCAAGUAGCAAAAAAUAAAAUCUUAUUUGGAACUCCCCUUGUUUUUUCUCUGGGAGAGUGAAGUUCCUCCUAAUCUGAAAUUUGUAGGAUUUUAAAAAUAAAACCAAAAAAUAAUUCACAAUCACCUCACCAGAACUCUUUCUGUUCCUAUUAUUUAAUCAUUAUAGAUAACAAUUUCCUAGAACCUUCUUUGAGGAAUUAUGUAAUUUGGUGAAAAUAUGCCUAA